AGUGAACGCUGGCGGUAGGCCUAACACAUGCAGGUCGAACGGCAGCACAGUAAGAGCUUGCUCUUACGGGUGGCGAGUGGCGGACGGGUGAGGAAUACAUCGGAAUCUACUUUUUCGUGGGGGAUAACGUAGGGAAACUUACGCUAAUACCGCAUACGACCUACGGUUGAAAGCAGGGGAUCUUCGGACCUUGCGCGAAUGAAUGAGCCGAUGUCGGAUUAGCUAGUUGGGGGGGUAAACGCCCACCAAGGCGACGAUCCGUAGCUGGUCUGAGAGGAUGAUCAGCCACACUGGAACUGAGACACGGUCCAGACUCCUACGGGAGGCAGCAGUGGGGAAUAUUGGACAAUGGGCGCAAGCCUGAUCCAGCCAUACCGCGUGGGUGAAGAAGGCCUUCGGGUUGUAAAGCCCUUUUGUUGGGAAAGAAAAGCAGCAGGUUAAUACCCCGCUGUUCUGACGGUACCCAAAGAAUAAGCACCGGCUAACUUCGUG
rnacentral:rRNA from 1 species